GGCUGCCGAAAGGCACCUUUUUCACAGAACUCCGGAGGCCUGAGGUCUAUAGGACUUUUGGUUUCCCUGUCUGCUGGAGCCCUUAAGGAUCCACACAUUUCAUGGAUUUGGGGACGACUCGUGACCGGAAUAAUCUCAGAUCCUGUUGUUCUCUAGCCUGAAAAUAGCGGAUAGCGGAAAAGAAGUCUUGCUGGAAUGUGAUGGAAUCAAGGUGGCAGCGGAUGUGCUAUUAGCAGACACUGCUGAAGAUGGACAUUUCUCAGAAGCCAGAUCUGAAAUAUAAUCAUUUCAUCAAGAAGCCCUGGUUCCUUUUAGUGAAUGUUGAGAGGCUACAGUAUGGCUGCUUGGGGAUAAAAUAAAAAUGCUCUGCUGGUAAAAUUCCUUGGACCUGAAGCA